UCCCACCUGACCCCAUGCCGAACUCAGAAGUGAAACGCCGUAGCGCCGAUGGUAGUGUGGGGUCUCCCUAUGUGAGAGUCGGUAACUGCCAGGC
rnacentral:rRNA from 1 species